GACGAACGCUGGCGGCGUGCUUAACACAUGCAAGUCGAACGGAAAGGCCCUGCUUUUGUGGGGUGCUCGAGUGGCGAACGGGUGAGUAACACGUGAGUAACCUGCCCUUGACUUUGGGAUAACUUCAGGAAACUGGGGCUAAUACCGGAUAGGAGCUCCUGCUGCAUGGUGGGGGUUGGAAAGUUUCGGCGGGUGGGGAUGGACUCGCGGCUUAUCAGCUGGUUGGUGGGGUAGUGGCUCACCAAGGCUGUGACGGGUAGCCGACCUGGGAGGGUGAACAGGGUCAUGAGGACUAAGGUACGGCCCAGACGCGUACGGGAGGCAACAGUGGGAAGUAUUGCGCAAUGAGCGGAAGUCUGAUGAAGCAGCGCUGCGGGCGGAAUGACCUCCUUCGGGUUGUAAACCGCUUUCAGCUAUGACGAAGCGUGAUUGACGGUACUGGGUAAAGAAGCACCGGCUAACUACGUG
rnacentral:rRNA from 1 species